rnacentral:lncRNA from 1 species
UGAUCCCUGCCGCAGUGCUGGCAGAUCUUCCCACGUGCUGCCCCCAUAGCCUGAGGAGGAGCCUGAACGGCAGGCCUGGGCCUCUUACUGGGUUGGACAGGCAUGGUAGGCGCUGGCCUGCGGAGCGGGGCUGAGGGUCGGGGACUUCCCGCUAGCUGAGGGCGGGUGUCGAAGCUCCUUUCUAUGAUCUGCGCCUUUGCCAGGACUGCCGAAUAUGUCUCGAGCUCCAUCACCAAUAAGUGCUGUCUGAUCGCCGGGCGGAGGCCCCACUGGAAUUUCCUG